CCCUUAGAUGUUCUGGGCCGCACGCGCGCUACACUGAUGCGUUCAACGAGUAUACAACCUUGAUCGAUAGGUCUGGGUAAUCUUGUGAAUGCGCAUCGUGCUAGGGAUAGAUUGUUGCAAUUUUCAAUCUUGAACGAGGAAUUCCUAGUAAACGCAAGUCAUCAGCUUGCAUUGAUUACGUCCCUGCCCUUUGUACACACCGCCCGUCGCACCUACCGAUUGAGUGACCCGGUGAAUAAUUCGGACCGAUGCAGUGCUCAGCUUCUGAACUUUGCAUUGGAAAGUUUAGUGAACCUUAUCACUUAGAGGAAGGAGAAGUCGUAACA
rnacentral:rRNA from 1 species